UUUCAUGGUCAAGACAUACCUAUAACAUCCCGAUCCCGUCAGAUCUUGGAAACUAAGCAAGUUUUGGGCCUGGAUAGUGCUUGGAUGGGAAACCAUCUGAGCCCUACCAGCUGCACUUUUAAAU
rnacentral:rRNA from 1 species